CUUGGUAAAAAUAGCGUAGUGGUACCACCUGAUCCCAUUUCGAAUUCAGAAGUGAAACACUAUGGCGCCGAUGGUAGUGUGGGGUCUCCCCAUGUGAGAGUAGGAAUUUGCCAAGU
rfam:Candidatus Tachikawaea gelatinosa DNA, complete genome.